GAUGAAGAACGCAGCGAAAUGCGAUAAGUAAUGUGAAUUGCAGAAUUCAGUGAAUCAUCGAAUCUUUGAACGCACAUUGCGCCCCCUGGUAUUCCGGGGGGCAUGCCUGUCCGAGCGUCAUUACAACCCUCAAGCUCAGCUUGGUGUUGGGCCCCGCCGCCCCGGCGGGCCCUAAAGUCAGUGGCGGUGCCGUCCGGCUCCGAGCGUAGUAAUUCUUCUCGCUCUGGAGGUCCGGUCGUGUGCUCGCCAGCAACCCCCAAUUUUUUUCCGGUUGACCUCGGAUCAGGUAGGGAUACCCGCUGAACUUAAGCAUAUCAAUAAGCGGAGGA
rnacentral:misc_RNA from 1 species